rnacentral:rRNA from 1 species
AGAGUUUGAUCCUGGCUCAGAUUGAACGCUAACGGCACGCUUAACACAUGCAAGUCGAACGGCAGCGGAGGAAAGCUUGCUUUCCUGCCGGCGAGUGGCGGACGGGUGAGUAAUGCAUAGGAACUUGCCAUUAAGAGGGGGAUAACUCGGGGAAACUCGAGCUAAUACCGCAUAAACUCUGAGGAGAAAAGGAGGGGAUUUUCGAAAGGAAACCAUCCACUUAAUGAGAGGCCUAUGUUGGAUUAGCUAGUUGGUAGGGUAAGAGCCUACCAAGGCAACGAUCCAUAGCUGGUCUGAGAGGACGACCAGCCACACUGGAACUGAGACACGGACCAGACUCCUACGGGAGGCAGCAGUUGGGAAUCUUGGACAAUGGGGGAAACCCUGAUCCAGCGAUGCCGUGUGUGUGAAGAAGGCCUAAGGGUUGUAAAGCACUUUAGGUAGGGAGGAGAGUUAACCCCUGAACAGGGGGAUAAUGAGACGUUACCUACAGAAUAAGCACCGGCUAACUCUGUGCCAGCAGCCGCGGUAAUACAGAGGGUGCAAGCGUUAAUCGGAAUGAUUGGGCGUAAAGGGCGCGUAGGCGGUAAGAAAAGUUGGAUGUGAAAUCCCUGGGCUUAACCUAGGAAGUGCAUUCAAAACUAACGAACUAGAGUUCAGUAGAGGGAAGUGGAAUUUCCAGUGUAGCGGUAAAAUGCGUAGAUAUUGGAAGGAACAUCAGUAGCGAAGGCGGCUUCCUGGACUGAAACUGACGCUGAGGCGCGAAAGCAUGGGGAGCAAACAGGAUUAGAUACCCUGGUAGUCCAUGCUGUAAACGAUGAGAACUAGCUGUUUGUACUGUAAGAGGUAUGAGUGGCGAAGUAAACACGAUAAGUUCUCCGCCUGGGGAGUACGACCGCAAGGUUAAAACUCAAAGGAAUUGACGGGGGCCCGCACAAGCGGUGGAACAUGUGGUUUAAUUCGAUGCAACGCGAAGAACCUUACCUACUCUUGACAUCCCAUUAAUCCUUGAGAGAUUAGGGAGUGCCCGAAAGGGAAAAUGGAGACAGGUGCUGCAUGGCUGUCGUCAGCUCGUGUCGUGAGAUGUAGGGUUAAGUCCCGUAACGAGCGCAACCCUUAUCCUUAGUUACCAACUUAUAAAGAAGGGGACUUUAAGGAGACUGCCAGUGAUAAGCUGGAGGAAGGUGAGGACGACGUCAAGUCAUCAUGGCCUUUAUGAGUAGGGCAACACACGUGUUACAAUGGGAAGUACAAAAGGAAGCGGCACUGCGAAGUGUAGCGGAUCCUAGAAAGCUUUCCGUAAUUUGGAUUGGAGUCUGCAACUCGACUCCAUGAAACUGGAAUCGCUAGUAAUCGCAGAUCAGCAAGCUGCGGUGAAUACGUUCUCGGGCCUUGUACACACCGCCCGUCACACCAUGGAAGUGGGUUGUACCAGAAGUAAGUAGAACAACCGAAAGGAAUUCGCUUACCACGGUAUGAUUCAUGACUGGGGUGAAGUCGUAACAAGGUA